ACGGAAGGCAGCAGUCGGGAAUAUUGCGCAAUGGAGGAAACUCUGACGCAGUGACGCCGCGUGCAGGAAGAAGGUUUUCGGAUUGUAAACUGCUUUAGACAGGGAAGAUAGUGACAGUACCUGUAGAAUAAGCUCCGGCUAACUACGUGCCAGCAGCCGCGGUAAUACGUAGGGAGCGAGCGUUAUCCGGAUUUAUUGGGUGUAAAGGGUGCGUAGACGGGAAAUUAAGUUAGUUGUGAAAUCCCUCGGCUUAACUGAGGAACUGCAACUAAAACUGAUGUUCUUGAGUACUGGAGAGGAAAGCGGAAUUCCUAGUGUAGCGGUGAAAUGCGUAGAUAUUAGGAGGAACACCAGUGGCGAAGGCGGCUUUCUGGACCGAAACUGACGUUGAGGCACGAAAGUGUGGGGAGCAAACAGGAUUAGAUACCCUGGUA
rnacentral:rRNA from 1 species